rnacentral:lncRNA from 1 species
CAAGAAGUUAAGCCUUAUGGGAAUCUAGACAUUGUAGGAGUGAAGUUUACAAUAUAGAACUACGAAAAGGAUAGAAGGAGGACUCUUGUCCAUUAAAAGUUUUUCUAUAAUUCAGAGCUGAAGAAAUGAAUCAGUGCCAUUGUUUUGCUGAAGGUCAAUACCAGAUAAUUCACAAAAAGAAAGAACACCCAGGAAAUCACAGGACAAGAUGCAAUUUCAGGUAUCCAGCUCAGCACCCAAACUAGUCACCAUUUAACUCUGGAAGCAAAGACCAGAAUGAACCCUCAUACAUUGUGCCAGUGCGGAUGAGCUUGGUAUCAUUCAUCUUUCUCAGAAAUAAUAAAAAUCCCAAUGCUAUGAGGAGCUAACUGUGCAAAGUUAUUUCUCCAUUUAUAACAG